rnacentral:lncRNA from 1 species
GCCCCACCGCCCACGCCGGAAUCGAAGCCAGCAACGGCGUGAAAAAAAACGCUAAAAAGAAAUACGCCGCCACCGUCAACGCCGUGAUUCCUGUUCUCCCACCUUCCCGGAUCCCCGUCGAGGAUUCAAUAAACGCCGUCACCGGCGAGGUGCCGAGCAAGGACCCCACCACGAUCGACGUGGCGUCCGACAUGAACGCGAAGUACUGUCCCUCGAAGCCCCCCUUGUCGUCGGUGAAGCCCGCGCCGUCAACGCCGUGAUUCCUGUUCUCCCACCUUCCCGGAUCCCCGUCGAGGAUUCAAUAAACGCCGUCACCGGCGAGGUGCCGAGCAAGGACCCCACCACGAUCGACGUGGCGUCCGACAUGAACGCGAAGUACUGUCCCUCGAAGCCCCCCUUGUCGUCGGUGAAGCCCGCGAAACGCGCCAUGGAGUACAACGUUCCUGUCGUGUCGAGAAUGUCAACGUACAAG